GAUUUGUCAUCCAGAGUUUGGAGUUGGUUCCCCACUGGGAUGCGACCAGAUAAAUGAUUUAAUGACAAGUUCAAGAAACUUAAGAAGUUCAAGUCAGAAAUACUAGGAGGAAUCGACCCAGAAAGUUCAUUUCUAGAUAAAUCCAGAGAUUCUAGUGAUUUUAAGUUGCCAAUCUCCAAAGGGAUAUGUCCCUUUAAAUUGUUCCCGGAUAAAUUUAGAUUUUGUACUUUUGUAAGACUCGCUAAUUGCAUCGGAAUCUCUCCAGAAAAAUCAUUAUCUGAAAGAUCAAUAGAAAAGAGAAAUGGAACAGUGCUGGUAUAUUCAAGCUCGAUUCCUU
rnacentral:misc_RNA from 1 species